rnacentral:lncRNA from 1 species
GUCAUUAUGAUAACACAGCUUCAUGACAAUUUUUUACUUUAUCAGGUUGUGAAAGUAAAAAUUGAGAAAUUUAAACUUAACAAAUUGUUUCUAUACUACCCACUGCCGACGACACGCAGUGUUACGCUGAAUAUUAAAUUCAUGGCUUUUAGGUUCAAUACUCAUACUCUAGCCAUAACGGCAUUGCGUUACGAGAUCUACUAAAUUUUUUUGAUUUUUCUUAACAACAAUAAUUUCUUUAAAAGAAUACCCAGCAUCCAAUACGAGGUUGUUUCUUACUGUUAUUAUUAUUAUAAAAACAAUUAUUUUUUUGUCAUUGUAAAAAGUCGCAGAUCAAAAAAGUAAGCUUUAUUCGUAUUUUGAAAUAAUUCAAAAACAAAUUUAAAUCCCAGAACUACGUUUACCGAAUUGAGUUCACCGAACAAUAGCAAUUGUAAAGUUGUUGUAAAUUUCUAAAAUUUUUUCAUUGUAAACGUGAACAUAUCUUUUUUAUUCGGUUGAUUAACAAUAAAAGUUUUAUGCUUUUGGUUCCCUACGGCACCAUCUAUUAAUUAAAUAUUAUCGUUUUAUUUGGUUGAAGAUUUACGAAAUCGUAUGACUUAGCUUUUAUCGGUUUGUCUAUAACAUGUAUACAUAAGUGCAAUAUAUGUGAACUGUAUGUUUCUUAAAAUAGUUAUUCAAGUUUUGUUGUUUAUCUUAAAAAUCGAAUGCUCAAAAGAUAUGAUCAUGAAGAACUUGCUAACUAUCUUUUACUCGCUGUUAUAAUAGCAUUUAUUGUUUUGACGACGGUGGCGUACUUAUUAACAGAUGGACUACCGCAUUUUUCUAAAAUACUACCUAAUUAUCUCCUAAAAUUAAUUAUCACCGAAAAAUUACGGCACGACGUUACAAAUAUUUAAACUGUUUUAAAGAGUCAAUCAAUUUUUAGAGUCUUAAAAAGUUUUAAAGAGUCAACCAGAGUCAACCAACUAAUCGAGUCUAAACUAUGAAGGAGAAGCGCGUUAAACUAAAAAAAGUUACAGUUUACUAAUUCAUUUCGCAAAACAAACAAACAAAAAAGUUUUACAAUGUUAACCAAUGAGAUUUAAAGAUACAGAAAAAAACUUUUUUCAAUUUAAUAGAGAUAUUUGUUCUAAUUAGCUUGCGUAACGGAAGAUUAGUUCCUAGUCAUUGAUUAGAUUUUAAAUAAGGAAUAUUUUCUUUAGGAAAUUGCGUCGUUUGCACAAUCGCAAAUUUCUAUAAAUAUUUUUAUAACGACUAACAGUAUGUAACUGUCAUUCAAGCUUUAUCGUAAACUUAAAUUUUACCGUGGUUUUAUCUUACAAACAGUGAACAAAAAGUAAUCGUUUUUUAUACGCCGUUAAAUACUGAUUUUAAAUUAUAUUUAUAUCUAAAAUGAUAAUUGAGUAGAUCAUAAUUUAUAUUAAAUGUCGACAACAUAUUAUUGAAUAAUAUGAUGGCGAUUAAACUAUUUAUAUAAAAAAUUGUAUAUUUUUGUGAUUUAUUAUAUUUACUUAAAUAUUUAAUUUACCAAUUAACUUGACUAUAAUAUAAAAUAUUUAAUGUUUUGUUUAAUAAAAUUUUUAUGUUUUUUGAAUUAGUGUUUCAGAAGUAAAAUGUUUAAAAAGUUAAAUGGAAUGAAAAAUAAUUUUAUUAUUUGUCUUUACCCUAUUUAAUUAAGUUUUAUAAAAUCCAUUCUAAUUUUCACAUUGCCACGUAUACAUAUCUUUAUCUUGUACUGCAACGACUUAGCGAGUAAAACUCAAGCAGUUAAACUUUGUUUAAAACUUUGACUUAACGAGUAAAAAUAUCCGCAAGUAGUGGAACUUGAGAUUAGAAACUUAAAAAAUUUAACUUCCACGUGUGUGAAGAAUUAAAAAACUCUGUUGAAAAGUUGAAUUCAAAAGCUCCCUACUUUUUGCAUCUUCAUAUUAUUAUUAAAAAUAAAAAGGCCGCAAUAAAAUAUUUUUUCUUAAAAUCUUAAUGAUCUCCAGCGAGCACUGACGGUUAUGACGGGUUCGAGUGAAUAAAAACUCGAUAGCAUGUACUUAAUUUUUAACUAAAAUCGUGGAUUAUGAUGAUUGUGAUUUUCAACCGAUGGCUUUUGCGACUUUCUACAACAACCAACUGUAUUUUUAAUCGAACAAAUUUCUUAUCUAUUGCA